rnacentral:rRNA from 1 species
AUUGAACGCUGGCGGCAGGCCUAACACAUGCAAGUCGAACGGUAACAGGAAGCAGCUUGCUGCUUUGCUGACGAGUGGCGGACGGGUGAGUCAUGUCUGGGAAACUGCCUGAUGGAGGGGGAUAACUACUGGAAACGGUAGCUAAUACCGCAUAACGUCGCAAGACCAAAGAGGGGGACCUUCGGGCCUCUUGCCAUCGGAUGUGCCCAGAUGGGAUUAGCUAGUAGGUGGGGUAACGGCUCACCUAGGCGACGAUCCCUAGCUGGUCUGAGAGGAUGACCAGCCACACUGGAACUGAGACACGGUCCAGACUCCUACGGGAGGCAGCAGUGGGGAAUAUUGCACAAUGGGCGCAAGCCUGAUGCAGCCAUGCCGCGUGUAUGAAGAAGGCCUUCGGGUUGUAAAGUACUUUCAGCGGGGAGGAAGGGAGUAAAGUUAAUACCUUUGCUCAUUGACGUUACCCGCAGAAGAAGCACCGGCUAACUCCGUG